rnacentral:lncRNA from 14 species
CUGUGUGGAGCUGCAUGAAGCCAGGAAGGAGCGGCCCCGGGAGCUGCCGGCAGCUGAGGCUGCCAGGGAGAGCGGCACGGGGAGCCAAACGGCUGUGGCAGAGCAGCGGGAGCAGGCGGGGGAGGAGCGGAGCAGGGCGGUAGCUGAGCAGGGGGAUCAGGCGGUGGGGGGGAUGAGUCCUGCGGCCGUUCCCGAUCCUCCGACGGCCGAGAGUGUCCCCCGGAAGUCGCCCGCCGACCCCCAGCAGGAUGCAGGAGACCACGCAGCACUUCCCAGCAAGGCAGAGGAGGAACCGAGUCCUGCCGCCGUUCCGAACCCCGCAGCAUCCGAGAAUAUUCCCCGGAAGUCACCCGCCGAGCCCCAGCAGGAUACAGGAGACCAGGCAGCACUUCCCAGCAAGGCAGAGGAGGAAGAUCCGGACUCAGGAGAAGAGAAGCUGAUAGUGGGAGAGCUGGCAAGCAGGGCAGCUACAUCAGCCCCAGUGACAAGUGCAGCAGCAUCAUUUGAGAGUUCUGAUGGUUUUGAAUGGCUUUUGGGUGCCCUUGGGACCUGCCUGCUGAUUGUGAUGGUGGUUGGCAUGUUGGCCCAUACACAGAGUGUGUUCUACCCACAAUCAUUUUGUCUGAUCCCAAAAGUUAAGCAGAGUCAGGUUUGGGUCUUGUCUAGGGUUAGACAAGGAUAUAGGAGCACCAGGAGACUGUCCCCAAGGCUGGACAGUCAUGAGUGGCAGGGCAUGUGGGACAGUAUAGCCGGGUAUCUGAUCCACUGGGCCCCUCCAGUGCUUUGGAAGCAUUGGAGGUGGAAGGCAGCUGUAUGGAGUCCCCAGCAGCAAGCUGUAGAACUGCUGAAGGGGACGGUGAAUUAUUUUGGUGGGCCCAGAUACUUCAGGCUAUCAGUCCAGAGAUGCAACUUAGAGAUGUCUCAUGAUCGAGGGGUGGACUUAAGAGUGAUGGUGUAUUGAAAAUGUGAGAUCUGGGCAUGACGUGAAUGGUAUGGAAUAAGGGGUGGAUAAUGUCAUGGUUUGAGCAUGUUUUGAGGGUGUUUUUUGUUCAAGGUUUUUUUUUUAC